ensembl:lncRNA
UAAACUCGACCUUUGACCUUGCUGCCUUUGUUUAAAGCUCAGGUAUUUUAUUUGUAUGGGUUUGUUUUUCCACGCUGAAUGUGAGCCUCCCUCUGUGUCACCUCCGUGUUUAGCAGCAAACCGAGAGGAAAAUCAGCUGCGUGAGAAACCCGCUGGUCACGUGACCCGAGAGGCCCGUGCCGCUCACCUUUACGUUGGUGAAGUCGUAGUCGUACUGAGGGUGGAAGAAGUUCUCCGUGUUGAUUUCCACAGUGAGCUGGAAGCUCUCGGGAGGCGCGUCCAGGGCCGGGGGCGAGCUGUACAUGUCGGCUUCGUCUAAGUCGUGCAGAGACAGCGUCCCCAAGCUGGGGUACUCCAGCUCCUUAAAGCCCUCCUGCUUGUAAAACUCUUUGAGGGCCACGACGUUGACCAGGUCCUGCGGGGUGAACUGGGAGCUUCCGGUUGUCGCUUCGGCUCUGCAGCCCAGGAGCGCGGAGACGGCCUCCAGGCACAGCCUGACGUCCGGCAUGCUGCUGCUGCGAGGACGGCGGGACAGCAGGCGGGGUCCUCCGGCUUCACAGGACAAAUAUCUGCCCCCUCUGAGGAACCGAGGUCGGAACCGAGCUGAAAAACGCGCAGAGACAGAAGAGAAGCUCGACGUCUGCGUCCGGACAGCUCCCCGAACUUUCGCUUUCACUUACACGCAGCCGGGGGCGGGGCUUAACACACAGUUUCACUGAGAGCAAACACACCUGUUUCGUUCUUGGAUGGAGGGCGUGUGCACUGAAACUCAUCACGAGUUGUUGUGUUGUCACAGUAAUAAAUAGUUGUCUCUAUCUGCGGUAUCAUGACAAAGUCAUUGUUUGCUGUGAGGGCAGCUAUAGCGCCCCCUUGUGCUGAGUCUGAUUUUGGCACAGUACACGACUGUGGGGGUCAUGCUGGAGGAUGAAGUCACGCAUGGAAGUCUGUCACCUCUGCAGGUCACCUGUGGGUGUCAGCAGGGAGUCACAUGGUUCGAUUUGAUGAACCGGAGCCAAUCAAAGUACAGGAGCUGGUCAUGUGUGACACGAGUGGAACAGGAUAAAAUCCCUUCAUUGAGUCAAUGAUGCUGCUGUCUGUGCUGAGCUCUGAUGUAAACCGUCUGUUUGCUCCUGCUGUAACCCACGGAGACGGGACGACGAUCACCGGGUCACAGAGGAAGAGUCUUUGCAUUAUUCCAGCCUGAAGCAUCCAGACAAGCCCCGCCCCACCACCAGGAGAGGAACCGGAUUGGCUGAAGAGAAGGUCCUGUACUCAACAGUGAACAUGUGCAAGAACUCAAAGGCAUCACAUGACCACAGAUAGAAGCACUUUAAAUGAGCGUAAAUGAAUUUUUUAAAUUAAUAAAACUGUGAAAAUAUGUGAUUAGAUUUCAAAAUCUAGAUUUUAGUUUAUUUGUUUGUGUAAACAGAUAAGAUUUAUUUUUCAGUGAGCAGAAAAACUUAAAAUGUUAAAUAUCCAGAAAGUUGCAAUGAAAGCAAAAUGUUUGUAAAACAUUUCUGUUAAUAAAGUAACAGCCAUGAAUGUAAAUCUGCCACAGCAGAUAAUUACUAAACUAAAGAAAAUCCUUUUUUACCCAUGUGUGUGAAUAGUUCCCUCGGGUCAGUUUCAAAUCUUUAUGUCUGUGUCUGAAUAUUGCUGCUGUAAAUAUGUUUGCUGUGCUGCUUCCAUGAACAGGUUCCACACUUUGUCUGUUACUAAUAAACUGAUUCUGACACCACGAUCUGUCCUGAUGGCCGCCGCUCCAGAUGUGACGCUCCACAUGUGGACGCCUGUGAACGAGUCCUCGCUGUAACAUGUAAAGACUCAGUGAAAGCAGCUGUGCUGCUGAAGCAGAGAGUGAAACAUGAAACCAAACUGACUGACAGGAUUUUAACAGCUUGUGUCACAGGUGAAACUAAGCUUCCCGUCACACGACCGUACACUCAGACUUUCAGAGUUUGUGCUCAGCUCUCGCUGCAGGUCUGCUGACGACAGAGGAGUAGAUGACGCUGUGGUGGCUCUGCUCCGGCGGACUCCUGCUGGGUCUCUCUCUCCAGUUCUGUCGGCCCAGAGAGGCGUAGUGGAUCGUCUCCCCACAGAGGGGCGGGGUCUCUAAGUCCUCACCCUCUGCAGACAGACACACCGUUUUAAUCCCUCGUAGACUGACGUGAGGACAUCGAACACCUGGUGAGGUUACCUGUCGGUGCGCUGGACGCCGUCCACGGCUGCAGCUCUGUGUCUUCACGUGUCGGUGCUGCUGCAUGGAGAGAUGAAGAGCGCAGCAUCAUCAGAAAACACGCUGACUCUAAUACUGGAUUCUGUUACCAUAGCAACAUCCAUAUUUUUGCAUGUGCGGAUUCAUGUUUUAAACACAAAGUUUUGUUUAUCUGAAGCUGCAAAAAAGAAUCGUCAGCUCUCUCGUCAAUAAAAUCCUUUUAAACAUAAAUGAAUCAGCCAACACGCUUCAGACUGCCUGAAAUAUAAACAUCACUGAAUAAUAAAUAA